rnacentral:misc_RNA from 1 species
UCCAACUUGUCGCUGGCAGUCUCCUUAGAGUGCCCAACUGAAUGCUGGCAACUAAGGACAAGGGUUGCGCUCGUUGCGGGACUUAACCCAACAUCUCACGACACGAGCUGACGACAACCAUGCACCACCUGUCACCUUUGUCCCCGAAGGGAAAAUCCUAUCUCUAGGACGGUCAAAGGGAUGUCAAGAGCUGGUAAGGUUCUUCGCGUUGCUUCGAAUUAAACCACAUGCUCCACCGCUUGUGCGAGCCCCCGUCAAUUCCUUUGAGUUUCAGUCUUGCGACCGUACUCCCCAGGCGGAGUGCUUAAUGCGUUAGCUGCAGCACCGAGGAUUGGAGUCCCCGACACUUAGCACUCAUCGUUUACGGCGUGGACUAC